rnacentral:rRNA from 1 species
AUUGAACGCUGGCGGCAUGCUUUACACAUGCAAGUCGAACGGUAACAGGCCGCAAGGUGCUGACGAGUGGCGAACGGGUGAGUAAUGCAUCGGAACGUGCCCAGUCGUGGGGGAUAACGCAGCGAAAGCUGCGCUAAUACCGCAUACGAUCUAUGGAUGAAAGCGGGGGACCGUAAGGCCUCGCGCGAUUGGAGCGGCCGAUGUCAGAUUAGGUAGUUGGUGGGGUAAAGGCUCACCAAGCCGACGAUCUGUAGCUGGUCUGAGAGGACGACCAGCCACAUUGGGACUGAGACACGGCCCAGACUCCUACGGGAGGCAGCAGUGGGGAAUUUUGGACAAUGGGCGCAAGCCUGAUCCAGCAAUGCCGCGUGCAGGAAGAAGGCCUUCGGGUUGUAAACUGCUUUUGUACGGAACGAAGAGGCUCUGGUUAAUACCUGGGGCUCAUGACAGUACCGUAAGAAUAAGCACCGGCUAACUACGUGCCAGCCGCCGCAGUAA